UACAGGGGGUGCAACCGUUGCUCGGAAUCAUUGGGCGUAAAGCGCACGUAGGCGGUUCGUUAUGUCGGAUGUGAAAGCCCUUGGCUUAACCGAGGAAGUGCAUCCGAAACUGGCGAGCUAGAGUACUAAAGAGGAUCGCGGAAUUCCCGGUGUAGAGGUGAAAUUCGUAGAUAUUGGGAAGAACACCGGUGGCGAAGGCGGCUAUCUGGACCGUAACUGACGCUGAGGCGCGAAAGCGUGGGGAGCAAACAGG
rnacentral:rRNA from 1 species